GACGAACGCUGGCGGCGUGCCUAAUACAUGCAAGUAGAACGCACAGUUUAUACCGUAGCUUGCUACACCAUAGACUGUGAGUUGCGAACGGGUGAGUAACGCGUAGGUAACCUGCCUGGUAGCGGGGGAUAACUAUUGGAAACGAUAGCUAAUACCGCAUAAUAUUGAUUAUUGCAUGAUAAUUAAUUGAAAGGUGCAAUUGCACCACUACCAGAUGGACCUGCGUUGUAUUAGCUAGUAGUUGAGGUAACGGCUCACCUAGGCGACGAUACAUAGCCGACCUGAGAGGGUGAUCGGCCACACUGGGACUGAGACACGGCCCAGACUCCUACGGGAGGCAGCAGUAGGGAAUCUUCGGCAAUGGACGAAAGUCUGACCGAGCAACGCCGCGUGAGUGAAGAAGGUUUUCGGAUCGUAAAGCUCUGUUGUAAGAGAAGAACGGGUGUGAGAGUGGAAAGUUCACACUGUGACGGUAUCUUACCAGAAAGGGACGGCUAACUACGUG
rnacentral:rRNA from 1 species